rnacentral:rRNA from 1 species
UGCCAGCCUCCGCGGUACUACUUAUUUGGCGAGCGUUAUCCGGAAUCACUGGGCGUAAAGGGAGCGUAGGCGGUUUUGCAAGUCAGAAGUGAAAGGCUACGGCUCAACCGUAGUAAGCUUUUGAAACUGCAAGACUGGAGUGCAGGAGAGGCAAGUGGAAUUCCUAGUGUAGAGGUGAAAUUCGUAGAUAUUAGGAGGAACACCAGUGGCGAAGGCGACUUGCUGGACUGUAACUGACGCUGAGGCUCGAAAGCGUGGGGAGCGAACAGGAUUAGAUA